AUGCACAUGUGAGUGGGAGAGGAACAGAGGGAUAUAGAGAAUCUUAAGCAGGCUUCAUGCCCAGUGCAGAGCCUGACCCGGGGCUCAAUCUCAGGACUGGGAGAUGAUGACCUGAGCCAAAAUCAAGUCGGACACCUAACCAACGGAGCUACCCAGAUUCAGUUUCUGGACCUGCAAGGUUGAUGUCCUGUACUUGGCACGUGGGGAGCUCAGCCAGAACAUAUCUGGCUCAUGUCCCUUCAAGGACGCUUAGUUCUCAGGAGACUUCUUGAGGAUGCCCAUUUUUGAAAGAGACUUCAUAGCCUGGUUCCUCUUCUUUGGAUCAAUUCAAACGUUCACUCCGUUUUAACCACUCGAGUGCUUCUCAGGACCACCAUGAUCAGCGAGGGCAGAGAUAGACCAUGAACAGACAGAAACAAGAAAACAAGCAGAUGGGUUCAGACCCUGAGGACAAUGACAAAGUGGGGAGGUCAUUGUAUGUAUCCACAUGGAACUUAUAAAGGGAAGCAUGAGAAUUAGAUGUUAAUGUUGUUUACACAGUUUAUCUCAUCAGGUAAGUUUUCCCACUGCUCAGACAUCCAUAGUCAGUACGUAUAAUUUCUCUGAGCUCUUUUUGUUUUUCUUUUCUUUUUCUUUCUUUCUUUUUUUUUUUGGCACAUCGUGGCUCAGCCUCAGCAGACUCUCCGUCGUCUUUAGGCAUUCCCUGCCUUCUUGUCUUUGCCCGUGUCUGUCCCUUCAGGUGGAAUGCCCUCCCGUCUUCGGCCACCAGUCAUCCUUUCCAUCCUUCACACUGCAGAUAAAAUUUACCUCCCCUUCCCCCCACGGACGAGACCAACCUGACCAUCCAGCAGGAAGGCACUUUUCUCUCUCCUUUGCGUGAGGAUCACUCGUGCUUCGUCUUCUCAUGAUCUACGAAGUGGCGUUGCUUUUCCUCUGUCUUAGGUCAAGUUCUGAGAAACAGAUCCUAUGAAGGAGAUUUGUGCGCGGCAAGUUUUGAAUCCUUCAGAUCCACCUCCUGCAGGGUGGGGGGUGGGGGAGGGCAGAGGGAAGGAAGCAAGAUUUGGCAAAGGAAGGUGCUGAUCUGCGAUACAGUCUCCACCCUGGCCUCAGCCCCGUCACAUGGGGGGCUGGAGCUGGGUGACGCCUUCAGCUGGACCUUCACACACCAUCACCCAUCACGGACUGGUCGUUGGAUGCAUCUGUCUCCGGGUGGGAUGCAUGAUCUUGAUGCCUGGCGACAGCUCUUGUGAUGCUUGGAGGGACUCCGCUGAGAGCCACCAUCUCCAGUAGUUGGGAGAAAGGGUGACGUGGUUCCAGAGGGGGCCCGGGCGGUGUACCUGGCCUCCGGCCUCCAGCCUCCAGCCUCUCAUCUGCGAGGAGGGAGGGAGCGCGUCUACGCCUGCGUGUUUGCCUGCGGGCUGCCUCCGGCAGGUGGCGCACCCUCAGUAA